ensembl:lncRNA
GAUGUGUUGGGGGGGAGGGUAAUGCAUUCCAUUUCAUGGACACGUGGAUUGUGUUUUCCAGGGGGAAGAGUUUGCCUGUAACACAUCUUAUCUGUUGAGACCCACGUGGUUUCCAGAAGGGUGGCAGUACUUCCUUCCUCCCCGCCCGUCUGUCUGUAACUCCCCCUUUUGCCCCUCACCCUGGGCUAUACUGGGCAAUCUUCUAAAGCUAGGUGGCGCGGGGGGGGGGGGGGGGGGGGGGGCAGGGGAACCAGGUUCCCACACGAAUAAAAAGAGGGGGGGAACAGAAAGAUGCAAACAAAAACAAAUACAGAAAUGCUAGCUACUCCUCUAAGGGCAGACACCGCUGUCCUACACCAACCAAUUUCUUCUUUUCCUCAUCUUCGCUCUCCUUUAAAUCAUCAGCUUUUAAAGCAACAUACUCCAGUGCAUCUAUCUCUUCUCUUCUCUUUCUUUCUUUCUUUUUUCUUUCUCGUUAUGCGAUUCUCUCUCUCUUUCCCCUCUCUGCCUACCUCCUCAGACAGUCGCCACUUCUGGGAGAGAUCUGGGCAGACCCCUCCAUGCCUCCUUUCUGGGCAGGGGGGGGGGGGGGGGGCUGCCAAGCGGUCACAGUGAGACUGGGAAAGAAAGGUGUGUGUGUGUGUGUGUGUGGGUGAGGGGGAGGGGGUGGCAUAGGAGUGGCUUGGGGUAGAAGGGGAUGGGGGGGGGUUCUGGCAAAACAUUAAACCAAAACCUGAAGGAAAAGAACAAAGAUUCUACCAGUCCUUUACUUAGGAGAAUGAGAACCUUGGCAAAGAAGAGAGAGAAGAGAGACAAACAGAGAGAGAGACAGACAGACAGACAGAUAGAGAGAGAGAGAGACGGAGAGAGAGAGACAGACAGACAGACAGACAGACAGACAGACAGACAGACAGACAGAUAAAGAGAGAGAGAGAGAGAGAGAGAGGUAUGGGCAAUGGCUUACACAAGCAUCAGGAGUGAUGUGUGUAGAUUUUCUUUCUCCAAUUCUCAGCCCAUCUCUCUCUCUCUCUCUCUCUCUCUCUUCUUGUUUCCUCUCUCUUCUCCUCCACUUCUCCGUCCCCUCUCCUUGAUAGCGCUACACGUUACUUAAGCUCCACCCACCCCUAUUACACAGCACAGCUACAGGAUGGCAGUCCACUGAGCCAUCUCAACUCAGGGCAAAACAAACAAACAAACAAACAAAGAAACAAACAAAAGUUGAAACAAGAAACAACCGAAAACCGCACAGAGGAUCGGUACACACACCGUAUUCUGCCAGGCAAGCACACACAGGUGAUCAAACCAGUCCUCCAGUGAUGUUUGUGCCAUCCGCAUGUGCUCAUGUAUAUAUGUAUUUACAUGUUAUAGACGCGCACACACACACACAUAUCAACACACACGCGCGUUCACACACACACACACACACACACACACACACAGGUGUGGGACAGGGCAGGGCAUCUCCGUGGUUUCCUCUUCACUCUCAUUUAGUGCACAAGUUCAUCAUUGAGUUUUUUUUCUUAAAAAAACAAUAAAACAAAAAAAAGACAAAAACCAUAACAUGAAAAAAGCAAAAAAAGCCAAAUUAUGAAAAAAUACAGUUUCCUUCCAUCUUCCAGGAAGAAGAAUCCAGACACGUCGCUUUUUUUUUUUCUCUUUUUCUUCAGCUUUGUCUAUAAAACAGUCAAUAAUAUUCUAUAAUGUGUCAUCAAUUGCAUUAAAGGAAAGGAAACCCCAAAGACUCAAAUACUGUAUGGCGACUGAGACCUCAGUCUUUCAAUUGUUUAUGUUGUGAGUUUAGUCCUUGUCCAGACCAGACCGGCGUGGGGUUGGGUUGGGUGGGGUUGGGUUGGAGUUUAUGCAUAAGCACUUUCCGUGGCUAACAGCCAGAGUAUGAAACAGGUUCCACCAAAGAUGUUUUUCUUCGCUUUUGUUUUUUUUCUUUUUUUUUCAAAAGAAUCCCAAAAAACAAACCAGAAAAAAAAAAAACAAUAACAGCCUAAUACAUCAAGGACGGUAAAUGUGUGCAGAUAUAUAUAUUUAUAUAUAUAUAUAUCUAAAAAUGGUACUUCCUACCUUCAAAAGAAGAAGAAGAAAAACAAUAAAAAAAAACAAGUGCACAUGGAAAGUAUUUCGUGCAUAAGGUCCAAGGUGUCUUUGACAGCGAGCAACCGGGGGUUCACCUCAAAAAAUAACAAACUGAAGGGGUGGAAGAGAAAGAUCGAGAGAGAUGAAGAGAGAGAGAGGAGAAGAAAGAGUGAGGAAGUAAAACAUGAGUGAAAUGUGAACUGAGAGUAUUAGGUUUGGCAUUUAUCUCAAUUAUUAGAGUAGGGAUAGAGGGAUAGAGAGAGAGAGAGAGAGAGUUGUAGUGAAAGACAGAGGAACAGCUAGAUGAAAAGAUUGAUAGACGGAGGAUAAAAAAGAGAAAGAACGACCGGGACAGAAAGAAAGAGAGAGGACGAGAAAAACCCCUGUGAUGAUUAAUCCUCUCCGCCUCGUCAUGUCACACUACGCUGUCACGUGUGACAAACAGACAGCUGGCUCACAGGUGUGUGUGUGCAUGUGCCCCUGGCCCCUCUCCCUGGGAAACCCCGUUCCCAAAACCUCCCCCAGAUGCAGGAGGAAGGGAUACCGGCCCCCCCUGCCCUCCUCCCUCUCCCCA